GUCUCCUUCUGUGCAUGGGGCGGUAGCUCCUGGCAGUUCUCUGCACCCACUCGGCUCCAUGGAGGAGGAACUCACCAAUUUCAGUAGCAAUCUCAAGAUCAUCCAAGGAGGCUAAGGUCUCCACCAGCACAUUCUCCUGAGGAAAGUUAUCCCAUUCGCCAACAGAUGGAGGGUUCAAAAGCAGCAAUCUCAGUGGCCAUCAGUGGCCUGAGGACACAGACUUGUUUGUGAGUCUUUUCUAUAUAUUUGUACUUUUGGAUAAUGGCUUUUACCAUAGGUCCAAAGAUAUCCAUAAACUAUCUGAUGAGAUGAUUUGUUUCCUUAACUUCUGUAAAUAGAAAGAAGAACAAGAUGCUUGGAAGAGUCUUAAGAAUGUGCAAUGCCAUCCUUCCGGGUGUCUUUGUGGAUGAAGCAGGGAGGUGAGUCAGAACUGCUCCUGGUUACUCCUGUGUAAUGGAUGCCUGCGUCCCUUUCUGUGGACAGGCCUGAGAAGAGUGUGCAGUGUCUUCCUCUGUGGAGGGUCUCCUAACAAGUGCUAUAUUUGCAAAUACUUGCAAAACAACCUCAUAGGGAUAACAGAAGGAGAAAUAUAUGCCCCAGAGGCUUCAAAGUGACAGAGUCUGCUGAUCUAGGUGGAGAAAUAAGUGUUCUCUAAUAUGAACACAUAAAGUAGAGUAUCAGGCUUUCGAGCACAGAAGAGACUCUUCAUUUAUGCACUUUGCCCACUUCCUCUUGGUAGCUUCUCCCUGUAGUACAGAAUCACUGCUCAGGGUUUCUGGUUCUGUCAGAUAGGCAGCCUGAGGCAUCUCACAAGUGUCAAUAGGACAGUUAAUAAAUCCAUUUUCUCUUUCACUGGAUGGAGGAGAUGCUAGCUUUGGCGGAGCAGUGAAAACUGGGCUAAGACAUCAUCCAAACUUCCUUCUACAUGGGAGUGGAGACAAAGCCUACUAAGAGUCUCUUGUGUGUAUGUGAAAAAUAAGAAUGUAUUAUGUUGUUUCUCUCAAUUUAAUAUCCUUUUCAGUUCAAGUUUAUGACAGAAAGAACUACAAAGUGGCAGAUAAAAAUCUUUCAAAGCAAAACCAACGUAUCUGCAUAUCCCUCCAUAAAGUCUGGAAAUCUCAUCAGGACCGGAAGAGGACCUCACUUCAGGGUGCUGCUCCUCCCUACCUCAGCUGGAAGGGCUGAGCCCCCCAGAGCAGCAAUCAGGGCCCACGCUGAUGAUGGUUUUCAGCCCCACAUGUGACUCUGCCACUCUUACCAACCCCCUUUAAGCUUUCUGUGCCUUGUCUUUCUGUCGUGACUUUAACUUCCUGUUGUUUCAAUAACUGAGACAAUCUCUCCCAGACAAGAUUAACUCCUCAUAUCUGUAGUGAAUAAAGUCUGGAAGAAGAAAGUCCAUUCUAUACUCUAGAGAAGAAAAUACAGUUGGGCCUUUCAAAAUAGGAUGAUUAUGUAGGCAGAAGCACAGGCUGCUGUAAUGACAAGGUCACAGGUUUGGGAUACAGAGAAUCGUGGAGCGGGAUCAUUGCUCCACAAACGAGAAGUCGUGAGAACCUACAGAGGUUGUUUAACUUCCCCAUAGACAAGCCAAGACCAAAUGCCUUCAGUGCUGCUUAGGGAUUAUGAGCAUCAAGUACCCUGUCUGCCGUCAGCGCUGCUGUGGCCAGGACUGUGGUGACUGCAGGGCGUGAGCGUUGGCUGGACAGUGGGACAGUGGUGACAGAGUCCAUGGUGAAACUGGGGUGUGGACGGAAGGUCUGGGUGUGGUGUGGGAGGCCCUGAGGGUGAGGAGGUUGCUCGUGUGAUGCUGGGAGUCAUUGCGGAAUGGUGGCGGAGGCGGAGGAGCAGCGGGGGCUGGUAGUAGGGUGGAAGUGCGCAGUGUUGCUGGGGUACUGAAGGUUGGUGCUGCUGGAAAUGACGGAGGUGAGUGGAAGUCCUUGGAGGUGAGCAGGGAAGUGGAGAUGAUGGCGGUAAUUGCCCAAUCUUUUGUCCAUGCUGAAAGUUAAAGAAAAGAGUUAGACAAAAGUAUCUGCCUCCAUUCCAUAAGUGAAAG
ensembl:lncRNA